rnacentral:rRNA from 1 species
GACGAACGCUGGCGGCGUGCUUAACACAUGCAAGUCGAACGGAAAGGCCCUGCUUUUGUGGGGUGCUCGAGUGGCGAACGGGUGAGUAACACGUGAGUAACCUGCCCUUGACUUUGGGAUAACUUCAGGAAACUGGGGCUAAUACCGGAUAGGAGCUCCUGCUGCAUGGUGGGGGUUGGAAAGUUUCGGCGGUUGGGGAUGGACUCGCGGCUUAUCAGCUUGUUGGUGGGGUAGUGGCUUACCAAGGCUUUGACGGGUAGCCGGCCUGAGAGGGUGACCGGCCACAUUGCGACUGAGAUACGGCCCAGACUCCUCCGGGAGGCAGCAGUGGGGAAUAUUGCACAAUGGGCGGAAGCCUGAUGCAGCAACGCCGCGUGCGGGAUGACGGCCUUCGGGUUGUAAACCGCUUUCGCCUGUGACGAAGCGUGAGUGACGGUAAUGGGUAAAGAAGCACCGGCUAACUACGUG